rnacentral:rRNA from 1 species
UUACACAUGCAAGUCGAACGGCAUCGGGGGCUUCGGCCUGCCGGCGAGUGGCGAACGGGUGAGUAAUGCAUCGGAACGUACCCAGUCAUGGGGGAUAACUACGCGAAAGCGUGGCUAAUACCGCAUACGCCCUGAGGGGGAAAGUGGGGGAUCUUCGGACCUCACGUGAUUGGAGCGGCUGAUGUCGGAUUAGCUAGUUGGUAGGGUAAAGGCCUACCAAGGCGACGAUCCGUAGCUGGUCUGAGAGGAUGAUCAGCCACACUGGGACUGAGACACGGCCCAGACUCCUACGGGAGGCAGCAGUGGGGAAUUUUGGACAAUGGGGGCAUCGCCCGCCGCGCCCCGC